UAAAAUCUCUUUUGUUUCUCCUUCUCUCCCACAAAACCCUAACACCGCCUCUCUUUCCAUUGCCAAGGUUGGCCAGUGUUGGAUCUCCGAAACACCACCCAAAUCUCACCAUGCAACCUCUACCUUUCCCUCAAUCAAAGUCCACUAUCAUUCCCCCAUAAAACCUCAUCAAAGCAGCCUAUUUCUUGAAUCUAAGGCUGACGGAAAAGGAGUUCGUUAGGUUUCCAGAUUUCUUUGAGCAAUAGGGUCUAAAACGAGUAUUAACCAUUUGUUCUCGUCAAGAACAUGUGGUUAAUACCUGUGUUGGAUCAAAUCAUAAUUUCUUAAAUUCUAUCAGUUUAGGAAUCAAAAGAUUUCAGAGGUAUCGUCUUCCAUAUUCUUCGUGUGUUUUGUUUAAAUUUUCAAUACUUUGUUCUUUUGUUUUAUUCUUCUCCAUAUUAUGUUCUUUAUUUGGUAUUUAGUUUUUAUUUUUUGCUAUUCAGUGGUUAAUUUCAAUUAAUCGUUUUGGCUAGAAUAAUUUUAUUUGUUAUUACAAGUUAGCAUUAAGUUGUUUAGUUUAGUCGAUUGAGCUGUUUCAGAACUAGUUUCGCCAUGUUUUCAUUUUUAGGGAAAUUUUGACCCUUCUCUGGGACAAUUUUACUUAGCCCAAGGAAUUCACGAGGGCCUUGAAAUCAGAGGCAUCAAAUAGUUCGUUUGGGUCUGCCUAGACCCAUUAGGCUGGGUCAAUUGACCCAUUUUUUUUCUAAGAUUUAAGAGGAAAUAACAGGGGUUGUCAGGUAGCUUAGGUAUUCGGAGGAUAUAUUAUCUUUCAUAACAAACUAAGAUGCUUCUAGGGUGGGUGGGAUUUGAAUUUCAGCCUUUUGGGUAGUCGAACUUGGAGAACAAGUCAGAAAUAUAUGGAUACCUAAGCAAUAAUGAGAAUUCAGAAAGGAUUGAAAAUGAAAACUGAAAAUCUGAAGCUCCCCCUUAGUUUUUCCUAUAAAAGACAGUAGAUGAUGCCUUAAUGGAAGAGUUUUUUUAGCCUUUACAAUUCCCCCCAAAAAAUAUUCUAUAGUUUCCAGAAGCUGAAAUUUGAAUUUCAGAUUCAAAAACUAGGUCUGGAAUUUGAAACCUCUUUUAGAUCUUAAACUUUUCAGAAAAUAAAAAAAAUAGCAGAAACUCCAAAAGAUAUAUUGUUACAUCAAGCUUUUGUAGAUCGAUUGCAAGUUCAGCUUGUUAAUCUGAGUUCCUAGUGUUCCUGGACUCAAUUGCAAGUUCGUUAUUGGUUUAUUCAAGUUAUUUUUGGGUGUUUCUAAUAGAUGAAGGUUUUCUAGAAUUUAUGGGUUCAAUUUCAAGUUCAUUUGGGUUUAUUCAAGUUGUUUAUGGUUGAUUUCCUAGUUUUCUCUGAUUUCGAACUCUUCCUGGAUUGUCGAAUUCAUUUCUGGGCUGUUAUCCGAUCUCUGCUCGUUAUUGCUGCUGAUUUCUUCUUCUUAUAUUUCAAACAUCCAAGUACAUUUUAUGUAACCUUCAAGCUUGUGUACAUGAAGUGAAAUGUUACUUGAGAUGAUUUCGGAUUUCUCAUGUUUUGUUUUAAUUCAAAAGUAUAGAACAAUUAUGUUUAUUCGAAUCACUUGUAUAAUUGGACAGUUUGAGGUUGUGUAGGACUGUUAAACUCAUUUGAUUUGUGUGAAGAUUUGAAACAUCAGGUUUAAUUUGGUUACACCUUAAUUCGUGUUGUAGUUAAAUAUGAUAUUUUGCCUAUGAUAGUUUAGCAUGGGAGGUUUGUGCUAGUAGUAAGAAACUGAUUCUGAAAUCGUUAAUGAUAUAGUUUGUAGUUAAUGUUAAAAUAAUGAUUACAUUUAGGAAUUGAACAUUCUGGGUCAUUUCAGCUUUAAUUAUACUAGUCAUGAGGGCUGCAUAAGGAUCACGUCCCUAUUGGAAUCAAACUGUGAGAGCUUGAAACUGCUGUUAUUGUGUUAGUCUUUAAAAUUUGCAAGCCUAUUUACUUUUUAAAAGGUUGUUUAAUUGCGGAUAGUCAUUGUUAGGUUGAAAAUAGUUUCGAGUUUUCUUACAAAUGUGAUAGCCUGUUGUUAUUUAAUUUAAAUUCGAUGGCAUCUUAAGUCUUUACUUCAAGUUGAAAAUCAGAUGUUGAGCCCUUUUGUUUCCUGAAUUUGGGCCUAUGCCUUCUGUCAAUUUGGGCCUUGUUCCAAAAUCCAGGCAUUAGAAACUUCACAAACUACUUAAUUAGGCUUUUUGUAGAGACAAUCCAUAAGAGGAAAAUCGUAGUCUUUUAGGUUAGCUUUUUAAAAAAAUGAGGUGCGCCGCGCCCAAACAAAACCAUAAAUCUCAUUGCCCUCUUAAUCAUAUUAAAAAUACUUUAGACCAUGGGACGAUCCAUUAGCGAAUUUUAUGGCCUCCCACAAAGUUAAUGAUAUGCUAGUUGCUUUAGGCCCGACAUUUAAUAAUAAUACUUUCCUAAAUUCGGGUGCACAUUUAUGUGACCCAAAUU
rnacentral:lncRNA from 1 species